GACGAACGCUGGCGGCGUGCCUAACACAUGCAAGUCGAACGGAAAGGCCCUUCGGGGUACUCGAGUGGCGAACGGGUGAGUAACACGUGGGUGAUCUGCCCUGCACUUUGGGAUAAGCCUGGGAAACUGGGUCUAAUACCGAAUAGGACCACGCGCUUCAUGGUGUGUGGUGGAAAGCUUUUGCGGUGUGGGAUGGGCCCGCGGCCUAUCAGCUUGUUGGUGGGGUAAUGGCCUACCAAGGCGACGACGGGUAGCCGGCCUGAGAGGGUGACCGGCCACACUGGGACUGAGAUACGGCCCAGACUCCUACGGGAGGCAGCAGUGGGGAAUAUUGCACAAUGGGCGCAAGCCUGAUGCAGCGACGCCGCGUGAGGGAUGACGGCCUUCGGGUUGUAAACCUCUUUCAAUAGGGACGAAGCGCAAGUGACGGUACCUAUAGAAGAAGCACCGGCCAACUACGUGCCAGCAGCCGCGGUAAUACGUAGGGUGCGAGCGUUGUCCGGAAUUACUGGGCGUAAAGAGCUCGUAGGUGGUUUGUCGCGUUGUUCGUGAAAACUCACAGCUUAACUGUGGGCGUGCGGGCGAUACGGGCAGACUAGAGUACUGCAGGGGAGACUGGAAUUCCUGGUGUAGCGGUGGAAUGCGCAGAUAUCAGGAGGAACACCGGUGGCGAAGGCGGGUCUCUGGGCAGUAACUGACGCUGAGGAGCGAAAGCGUGGGGAGCGAACAGGAUUAGAUACCCUGGUAGUCCACGCCGUAAACGGUGGGUACUAGGUGUGGGUUCCUUCCUUGGGAUCCGUGCCGUAGCUAACGCAUUAAGUACCCCGCCUGGGGAGUACGGCCGCAAGGCUAAAACUCAAAGGAAUUGACGGGGGCCCGCACAAGCGGCGGAGCAUGUGGAUUAAUUCGAUGCAACGCGAAGAACCUUACCUGGGUUUGACAUGCACAGGACGCCGGCAGAGAUGUCGGUUCCCUUGUGGCCUGUGUGCAGGUGGUGCAUGGCUGUCGUCAGCUCGUGUCGUGAGAUGUUGGGUUAAGUCCCGCAACGAGCGCAACCCUUGUCCUAUGUUGCCAGCGGGUUAUGCCGGGGGCUCGUAGGAGACUGCCGGGGUCAACUCGGAGGAAGGUGGGGAUGACGUCAAGUCAUCAUGCCCCUUAUGUCCAGGGCUUCACACAUGCUACAAUGGCCGGUACAAAGGGCUGCGAUGCCGUGAGGUGGAGCGAAUCCUUUCAAAGCCGGUCUCAGUUCGGAUCGGGGUCUGCAACUCGACCCCGUGAAGUCGGAGUCGCUAGUAAUCGCAGAUCAGCAACGCUGCGGUGAAUACGUUCCCGGGCCU
rnacentral:rRNA from 1 species